rnacentral:rRNA from 1 species
GACGAACGCUGGCGGCGUGCUUAACACAUGCAAGUCGAACGGAAAGUGCCCAGCUUGCUGGGUGACUCGAGUGGCGAACGGGUGAGUAACACGUGGGUGAUCUGCCCUGCACUUUGGGAUAAGCCUGGGAAACUGGGUCUAAUACCGGAUAGGACCUCGGGAUGCAUGUUCUGGGGUGGAAAGCUUUUGCGGUGUGGGAUGGGCCCGCGGCCUAUCAGCUUGUUGGUGGGGUGAUGGCCUACCAAGGCGACGAAGGGUAGCCGGCCUGAGAGGGGGUCCGGCCACACUGGGACUGAGAUACGGCCCAGACUCCUACGGGAGGCAGCAGUGGGGAAUAUUGCACAAUGGGCGCAAGCCUGAUGCAGCGACGCCGCGUGAGGGAUGACGGCCUUCGGGUUGUAAACCUCUUUCAAUAGGGACGAAGCGCAAGUGACGGUACCUAUAGAAGAAGCACCGGCCAACUACGUGCCAGCCGCCGCCGUAAUAC